GUUCCGGACCGGGACAUGGCAGGCUCGCAAGGUCUUUCGGGGUCUGUUGCGGCCCCCUUGGCAGUGCCUCUGCGCCUCCAGAAUCUGUCUCUUCCAGGAAGAGUUGGGGGACUUGUCUGCAGGUUGCAUUUGCAGAGAUUAUUUGACUUAGAUUGUGUGUUUUGGGGGUGUCUAGAGUUUGGGGAAAGGAGAUUUGGGGGAGGUGAAAUGAAAGCUCACCGGCCCCUGGUCAUUGCCUGACUUGAGCCCAGGCCAGCGCCCCGGAAGGCUGGCGCUGACAUCGACCAUCCAAAAAGGUCGGGGGCCGGGCGGCGCAGCGCAGAGAGGGCACGGUCAUUUCACGUUGUCAUUAUUAUGUGCUGCAGCUAAUACAUCCUAGAUUCCUGCCCUCUAACGCUCUGGGUGACGUUCUUAACAGCUGUUUCUGUCGCUCAAGGGACAACCGCCUCCAAGCUGAUUAAAUCCAGUUCUGUCCCCUCCUCUGCCAAGUCCUGCAAGAACUGCCCCUGCCUAGCUUUCCAGUCCCUUCUAUCUCACCGCCCUGGACUCGUACCCUCCAGCCAUUGCUUUUUCUCUUCCUGACCUUGCAUGGAACUUUCUUCCCUCUAAAUCUUCAUACGAUGUGCCUUUUUUUCAUCAUUCAGGCCUCAGUUUCAAAUGACACCUGUGUUACUUUACUUUUUUAUCUUUCUUUUUUCUUCUAUUUUUAUGGGUGUUUUUUUUUUUUUCUGUCGCCUAGGCUGGAGUGCAGUGGUGUGAUCUCAGCUCACUGCAACUUCCGCCUCCCGGAAUCAAGUGCGUCUCAUACCUCAGCCUCUGGAGUAGCCAGGUUAUACCACAUCCAGCUAAUUUUUGUAUUUUUAGUAGAGGCGGGGUUUUGCAGUGUUGGCCAGGCUGCUCUCGAACUCCUGACCUUAAGUAAUCCGCCCGACUUGGCCUCCCAAAGUGCUAGGAUUACAGGCAUGAGCCACCGUGCCCGGCCCCCUGUGUUCGUUGCUAAAGCUGCCAUAACCACAACCUGGGUAGUUUAAACAAUAGAAAUGUAUUCUCACCAACGGGGGCAACAUAAGGAGACCUUGUUUCUACAAAAAAUUUACAGAUUAGCUGGGUGUGGUGGCACGCGCCUGUGGUCCCAGCUACUCCGGAGGCUGAGGUCCAAGAAUUCCUUGGGCCUGGGAGGUCAAGGCUGCAGUAAGCUAUGAUUGCACCACUGCACCCCAGCCUGGGUAACAGAGCGAGACCCAGUCUCAUAAAGAAAGAAGGAGGCCGGGCGCGGUCGCUCACGCUUGUAAUCCCAGCACUUUGGGAGGCUGAGGCAGGAGGAUCACCUGAGGUUGGGAGUUCAAGACCAGCCUGACCAACAUGGAGAAACCCCAUCUCUACUAAAAACACACAAAAAAAUUAGCCAGGUGUGGUGGCACAUGCCUGUAAUCCAGUUACUCAGGAGGCUGAUGCAGGAGAAUCACUUGAACCAGGGAGGUGGAGGUUGUGGUGAGCUGAGAUCGUGCCAUUGCACUCCAACCUAGGCAACAAGAGUGAAACUGAGUCUCAAAAAAAAGAGAGAGAGAGGAAGGAAGGGAGGGAAGGAAGGAAAGAAAAAAAGAAAAGAAAGAAAUGUAUUGUCUCACAGUUCUGGCAUCUAGAAAUCUGAGAGGAAGGUGUCAGCAAAGCAGUGCUCCCUCUGAAGCUCUGGGCAGAAUCCUUCCCUCCUCAUAGCUUGUGGGUGUAUGUGGUGGCGGGGGGCUCCUUCACUGGCGUUCCUUAGCUCGCAGCUGCAUCACCCCAAUCUCUACCCUGUUGCACCGUCUUCUUUCCUGUGUGCAUGUCUGUGUGUGUCCUCUCUUAAAAAGACACCCUUUCUGGCCAGGCAUGGUGGCUCACGCCUGUAAUCCCAGCACUUUGGGAGGCCGAGGUGGGCAGAUCACUAGAGGCCAGGAGUUGGAGACCAGCCUGGCCAACAUAGUGAGACCCCAUUUCUACUAAAAAUACAAAAAUUAGCCGGGCAUUAUGGUACAAGCCUGUAUUCCCAGCUCCUUGGGAGGCUGAGAUGGGAGGAUCACUUGAGCUCCAGAGGUCGAGGCUGUAGUGUGUUGGGAAAAGCUGAGUGUUGGGAGAAGCUGAGGCAGGGCUUGUAUGUCUGACACAAUGUAAAAGAGUCUUGGAACAUGUCCAGGGUCCAAGGUCUAAAACCCCUUGUGGCCUUUGGAACACCAAGCUCUGUGCUAAAGGGUGGAAGGCUGCCCUGAUGCACCAUAAUCUAAGCCCAGGGCAUAAAACCCCUCGUGGCUUGGAUAGAAUCCAGGGCUCGUGGCUCUGGAAUGUGUCUAGACUUGCUGGCUCCUUGCUCCUUGCUCACCCAGGAUCAAUUGUAUCUUGUGUUAAAAGAACCUGCUCUCCAUUAUCUUAAGUAGCGGAGCAAAUGCUAAACCAUCACAGCUGUAAAUCAUGGGCUUAAUGCAACGUGCCCUCUUGACCUCCACAUUCUCACCACCUGUUUCUCUGUUGGAUUACCAAUAAAUAGCAUGGGCUCCCAGGGCUCGGGGCCUUCGCAGCCUCCAGUAGUGAGCUGUCAUCACACCACUGCACACUAGCCUGGGUGACAGGACAAGAGCCUCUCUCAAAAAAAUAAAAAUAAAAAAAAGACACCCUUUCCUAGUGUGAUCACAUCUCAACUUUACAUCUGGAAAGGCCCUAUUUCCAAAUAGGGUCACAUUCCAAGUGUUAGAAAGUGAUACUAAGUGUUAAGUGAUACUAAGUGUUACUAAGUGUUAAAGUUCAUUCCUUUAACAAAUAUUUACUGAGGGUCUACUAUGUGUCAAGCCCUCGGGUUCCAACAAAGCCUGAGACACAGACAAGUUCCCUGAGAUCUUGUGGAGGUUACAUUCCCGUGGAGGGAAACAACCACAUAGUGGAUACUUAAUUGUUGAGUAAAUGUUGAGUUGCCUGGGCAACAUAGCAAGACCCUGUCUUUGAAAAAAAAAAAAAAAAGAUUGAGUAUCUACUAUGUGUCAGACAUUGUUCCAGGCAUUAGAGACAUAGGAAUGAGGCCAGGCGCAGUGACUCACACCUGUAAUCCCAGCAUUUCGGGAGGCUGAGGCAGGCAGAUCACUUGAAGUUCUGGCCUCCCAGUGGCUCACACCUGUAUUCGCAGCACUUUGGGAGGCCAAGGCAGGUGGAUCACUUGAGGCCAGGAGUUCAAAACCAGACUGACCAACAUGGUGAAACCUCGUCUCUACUAAAACUACAAAAAUAAGCCAGACAUGGUGGCUGGCACCUGUAAUCUCAGCUACUCGGGAGUCUGAGGCAGGAGAAUCGCUUGAACUUGGGAGGCGGAGGUUGCAGUGAGCCAAGAUCGCGCCACUGCUCUCCAGCCUGGAUGACAGAGCGAGACUCUGUCUGAAAGAAAGAAGGAAGGAAGGAAGGAGGGAAGGAAGGAAGGAAAGAAAG
rnacentral:lncRNA from 1 species